AUAUAAAUAUUUAAAACAUUCAUUUUUUCAUCAAACAAGAUCAUUCAUAUAUAAGAUCAUUAAAAAGGGAUAAAAAUAACUAAGAAAGGUGAAUUGUCGCUGACCAAUGAAAUAAGAAGGCAAGGAUUGCCAGUUUUCAAUCUAAACCGUUGAUCAGACGGAUACAGUGCCAAAGAAGAACUCGUCAAAUGAUAGCUAUCUCUAUACUCAUUUUCUAUUGGCUGAAACAAAAAGGUCCCCUUUAUAAUUGACAGACAGUCCAAUGGUUGGGAAAGGCGUGGAUCACAAGUUAACAAGCAUCACCGUUGGAUUACUGAUAUCUAACGGAUACUAUCCGUCUCCGUCUCCAUUGAUAUCAUGCUCUGAGGAAUUCGCGUACAGAGCCAACUUUAACGACGGAACUUAUGAACCUCAUCUCUCCAUAGAUUCUGUCGUGAUAGUAGAAGAAGGUGUUUGAUCUGCUUCAUCAAUGAAGCAAUGCAACUCGUGUGCUUCCAGAAGAGAGAUUUGUUGCAGUAAGCUUUGUGAUGUUGAACAUGUUGAGAGAGAUGAGAGUGCUUUUAACGAUAUUGAAAACAGGGGCUGAUUCAGCUGUCAUAGAAGACUCUGUAGACAUCGUAGAAGAGAGAAUUUUAGAAGAAAAUUUUUAAGUUUAAGAAAAGAAAAGAACGAGGAUUUAAGUUAGGAUCAGAAGUGCCUUGAUACAAUAUAGAGUUUAUGUUAACUUAUCUAUGUCAUUAAUCACAUGUGUGUAUUUAUAGAAGAGAUUAGUAGAGAAUCUCUACAAGAUAAGGACGACUCUAAGUACAACUUAACUGAUAAUCUUUAUCUAUACCAAUAGAAAGAAAUCUCAAAGUCUUCAACUCUAUAAAUAGUUGGACAGAUCAGAUCUCUAUUUCUCACAUUCAAAUCACUAAUGAUGGCUCCUCAAGACGUUAUUUUCCUCUCCGUCCUCAUUGCCACCAUCUCCAUCGUUGCAUCCACAGAAAGAUGCCUAUACACAAUAUAUGUCCAAACCGGAACGAGAAAAAACUCCGGCACAGAUUCGAUCGUAGGGGUUAUAUUCGCCGAAAAAAGUCGUGUACAUCGAAAUUAAGGACCUAGCGAGUUGGGGUGAGACUAGAAAUCGAGACUAUUUCGAGAACGGUAAUCUGGAUGUUUUCAAUGUGACGGGGCGGUGUCUUCCCAACCCAAUAUGUUUUAUGAGACUAUCAACUGACGGCUCCGGCAACAAGCCCGGCUGGUAUGUUGAGUACGUGAAAGUAGAGAUGAGCAAGAUUGGAACUACGAGCACUCAUCAGUUCAUUGUGAAGCAAUGGCUUGCCCUCAGUGAGAAACCGUAUCAGCUAUAUGCCGCACGAGACGACUGCCCUUCUGUGACUCAAUCGCUUGAAUCAAAGAAUCCAUGAAAUAUAUCUUGUGAACGACGAUAUGUAUUUCAAAUAAAAUAAAGAAAAAAUUACACCAUGGAUCACUUUUAUAGUUAUGAAUUACACUAUGAGUUACUUUCUUAUAUAGAUACACUUUCUCUAACUUUUUCCUCUUUCUAGUUAGGUUUACAAACUAAACCUAAUCACUUAUUAUUAUUGGUGGGUCAUAUUUUUCUUAUCUCUUCUUCUUCAUUAAAUCUCAAAGCAAUCGAAGCUUUCUCUUUUUUUUUUCCUUUAUUCUUUUGUCCAUCCUGACCACGGUCAAAUAAUCUUCUUCACCGACCACCACACAACAUCUUUAUCUUAUAGAUCUUUUUUUAAUCAGAGUCUUGCAGAAUCCAUUAAACCCGACAAAAUGGUCUCUCCUUCCAUUUAGAUCUGUUACCUUCGUAAAAGUCCUGAUUGCUGCUAAAAUCUACGGUGGAUACUCCGGCUCAGUCAGCUUCGGCAUACCGUGAGAUUCUCAUGGAUCAUAACCCUUGCUACCGGUCAUCUUUAAAGAUAAAAAGAGAGAACACUAUUGGGGUGAAGCUAUAAGUGAUGUGCCCAUGGUCAGUUUAUUUAUUUUAACGUCACCAUGAAUGGUCAGUUUAUCUGUAUGCUGUGGGCUAAAAAAAGGAAUAAAUGGGAAGAUGGAUAACUACAAUGAAGACAUUAAGACGAGGAAGACACGGUUCAAGCAACGAAAGUCAAAGCUGACCAGUUGGGUCUUGAGAGAAGUGAGCAGCUUAGAGAGCUUUACCGCCAAUAGCAAAGUCUAUAAUACCGCUGAUAGCAAAGUCUUCACUCACUCUCUUCUCGCUAAAGUAAGUUUUUUGAGUAAUUUUUAGUGACUGCAAAUGCUAAAGCUAUAACUGAAAACGUUAGUGUUUUUUUUUCUUUUUUUAAGAGUGUUUUGCUUCUCACAGUGGUUUACUUUCUAUAUCUUGGAGGAGUCUCUGGAAUCGGCACGGCCGAACAUGUAAGCUAAUAUUUUUUAAAAUAGGCCGUUUGGACGCAUAUUAAACAACAUAUUUUUUAUUAAAUUAAUUUAGAUUGCAGAGAAUUUUAAACACACGUACAAAGCCCCUAUAAUGCAAACCACCACAAGAAAAUAGAGAGGAGAAAACGUAGAGAUAAAAGGCACAAAUGGAGUCUAAGUUGAACCAUCAAGUAAGAAAUUCAGGGACUAGAGAAAGCAAAAAGAUUCAUGGCUAGAGAAAACAAAAAGAUCAAGAUCUGACUUGAUAGUAGAAAAAAAGAACUCCAAGUAUAACAAUGAAAAAUUAUAUAUGUAUAUAAAUAUAUAAGAGUAUUAGGAAGAAAAUAAAAGAAAACAUAAAUGAAGGAAAAUACUACAAUAUAUGCUAAUGUCAACUAUCUUCAAAAUCAAGGUUAGUAUUUUAACUGUACUCAUGCAAGAACUAUGCUUUCCUGCAAUCUUAUUUUUCAUAUGUAAUGAUUUUUUUUUCUGGUUUUGGAAAAAGAUUAAACAUAAAACAUUGAAAAUAACAUUUUUCCAUUGUAAAC